UACGGAGGAUCCAAGCGUUAUCCGGAUUUAUUGGGUUUAAAGGGAGCGUAGGCCGACUCUUAAGUCAGUGGUGAAAGGUUGCCGCUCAACGUCUGAAUUGCCAUUGAAACUGACAGACUUGAGUGCGAAUGACGUAGGCGGAAUGCGUGGUGUAGCGGUGAAAUGCUUAGAUAUCACAAAGAACUCCAAUUGCGAAGGCAGCUUACUGGAAUGCAACUGACGCUGAUGCUCGAAAGCGUGGGGAUCAAACAGGAUUAGAUACCCUGGUAGUCCACGCGGUAAACGAUGAAUACCAGCUGUAUGCCACAUAGUGUAUGCGGCACAGCGAAAGCGUUAAGUAUUCCACCUGGGGAGUACGUCCGCAAGAAUGAAACUCAAAGGAAUUGACGGGGGCCCGCACAAGCGGAGGAACAUGUGGUUUAAUUCGAUGAUACGCGAGGAACCUUACCCGGGCUUGAAAUGCAGACGACAAAUGGAGAAAGGCUUUUUCCCUUCGUGGCCUCUGUGAAGGUGCUGCAUGGUUGUCGUCAGCUCGUGCCGUGAGGUGUCGGCUUAAGUGCCAUAACGAGCGCAACCCCUAUGUUUAGUUACUAUCAGGUCAUGCUGAGGACUCUGGACAGACUGCCACCGUAAGGUGCGAGGAAGGCGGGGAUGACGUCAAAUCAGCACGGCCCUUACGUCCGGGGCGACACACGUGUUACAAUGGGGGGUACAAAGGAGUUCGUACUCGGCGACAAGUUAUUCAUUUCAUAAAGCCUCUCUCAGUUCGGAUCGGAGUCUGCAACUCGACUCCGCGAAGCUGGAUUCGCUAGUAAUCGCGCAUCAGCCAUGGCGCGGUGAAUACGUUCCCGGGCCU
rnacentral:rRNA from 1 species